UACAGAGGUGGCAAGCGUUGUUCGGAAUUACUGGGCGUAAAGGGCGCGUAGGCGGCCCGUCAAGUCCCGUGUGAAAGCCCCCGGCUCAACCGGGGAACGGCGCGGGAAACUAGCAGGCUUGAGUUCGGGAGAGGGAAGCGGAAUUCCGGGUGUAGCGGUGAAAUGCGCAGAUAUCCGGAGGAACACCGGUGGCGAAGGCGGCUUCCUGGACAGUUCCUGACACUGAGACA
rnacentral:rRNA from 1 species